rnacentral:rRNA from 1 species
GCGGGUCAACCGCGAACUUUUAAACCUUUGACGAUUGACUCAUGUUGCCUCGGCGGGCUCGCCCGCCAGAGGAUACAUCAAAACUCUUGUUUUAACGGUGUUGUCUGAGCUACAAGCAACGAAUCAAAACUUUCAACAACGGAUCUCUUGGUUCUGGCAUCGAUGAAGAACGCANCGAAAUGCGAUAAGUAGUGUGAAUUGCAGAAUUCAGUGAAUCAUCGAAUCUUUGAACGCACAUUGCGCCCCUUGGUAUCCCGAGGGGCAUGCCUGUUCGAGCGUCAUUUCACCACUCAAGCCUGGCUUGGUGUUGGGCGACGUCCCCUUUGGGGACGCGCCUCGAAACGCUCGGCGGCGUGGCACCGGCUUUAAGCGUAGCAGAAUCUUUCGCUUCGAAAGUCGGGGCCCCGUUUGCCGGAAGACCUACUCGCAAGGUUGACCUCGGAUCAGGCAGGGAUACCCGCUGAACUUAAGCAUAUCAAUAANCGGAGGA